UACGAAUGGGGCAAGCGUUGUUCGGAAUCACUGGGCUUAAAGCGUGCGCAGGCGGACUUGCAAGUCAGGAGUGAAAUCCCAGGGCUCAACCCUGGAAUUGCUUCUGAAACUGCAAGUCUAGAAUCCCGGAGAGGUUAGCAGAAUUCCGAGUGUAGAGGUGAAAUUCGCAGAUAUUCGGAGGAAUACCAAUGGCGAAGGCAGCUAACUGGACGGGCAUUGACGCUCAGGCACGAAAGCGUGGGUAGCAAACAGG
rnacentral:rRNA from 1 species